UAUUUUUACUUUUAAUUUUUACUUUAAACAUAAAGAACGUGUGGUAGAAACUCGAGUAAUUAAUUAUCAAGGAAACUUGUGGGUCAAUAACCCAAGCUCUGUUCUUAACGAGCCAGGCGCCCAGCACGCACUUACAGAAACCAGCCUCAGCCCCUGCGGCGCCCAGAGGGGGAGAGGAGCGCCGCGUCUCCCGCGUGGAGGUGUUGUCCGUAGGCUGCACGAACUUGGCUCGCAGUCAUUCUCCACAGGGAAUGUGUAAUUCUCCACAGAAAUUCUCCACGCUUGCCCCCUCACAGCGCGGUGGUUUCUCAGCGCUCGCACCGAUUGAAAGCGCCGUAAGGAGACACGGGUGGCUGCAGCCGUGGGUAGGGAGCGUGGAACAGCUGCCCAGCGCCUCCCGGACAGAACUGCAGGGGUACAGCACAAGGCUUACUCCUGGCCUUUGGUCCACGCAGAAAACAGCAGUUGUUGCCUUCGAACAAAAACAUUACCUCUGCAUUUAAUAACAAAUAAAGUAGAUAAAUCGGCUUUGCUUUUAGCUCUGGACUUUGCUGUGUCAAUCCUGUGCAAGCCUUGGGAGCGGUCCGGUCCCUGUGCUCCCUGUGCCUCAGGAAGCACACACGGCUCUCCUCUAUCCACAGUUACAGACGCUGCUUUGGAAAUACCUUGUUAAGAUGUAAAUUACAAACUCAAUUAAAGCGAAUUUAAUCCUCCAGCAAAAA